UGUAAUUCAAAACGAGGACUGCCUGUAUGUAGAAAAAAAAAAGCCUUGUGGAGGUGGCAGAGGUAGAGGCAAAAAGCCACUUGCAAAAUAUCCUAUUUUAAAGCAAAUAAUUUUUUGCAGUAGGAACUUACAAAUUGCCAUUUUAGAACAGGCCGCUGAUGGAUGUAGCCAUGCACCUCGUUAUUGUGGAACCAAGUGCUUCAGGAAAAGAUAGAAAUGUCUUAUAAUACUAUAAACAGUUCUGUAAUCUUAGUGAGAAAUUUCUUCUUCACCCUCCAUAAUUGGUGAGUGUAUGUCCUGAGCUUCAUGUCAAUUAAUGUAAGAGUUUCAUGACAAUUAUUGUAUCUAGAGUAGUUAAAUAACUGUUACUUCUGGUUUUAUUCGUGUAUUAUGAACAUCCAUCUGAACCUUGCUGAGAUCUUACAGAACUAUUUAUCAGAAUAAAUCAGAGACAAUGGGGUUCACAAACUGAUAGAGCUAUGCAAAGGCAAAUUUCCUCUUCUUUGCUUUCUACUUGUUGCCUUAUAAUUUCAUAACUUCCCUUUCUUCAUGGCUCUUGAAUCUCUUGUGCCCCACACAGAACCUAAUUUUCACUGUUCUCUGAGUUCUUUCUGAUUCUUUUGCAUGGUAGGUUACAGUGAGCAGGGAGUUUAUUCCUUGCUCAGAUCUUGCCCCCGAGUCAUAAAUUAACAAAGCAGGGAACAAAAACCCAGUCAGCCUAUGAGCACAGAAUGCAGCACAAUUGAAGUCACAAGGUAACUAGCAUUUCUGAAAAUUGGGUUCUUUCAAAAACCCAGCUUGGGAGAAAUUUCCUUUUUAGAUUGUGCCAUAUUGGAGAAAAUAGAACCAGUAGAGCUGUUCUUUUUUUUUUUUUUUUGGUCAUGCUAUAAUGAAAAGCGAAUUUCACUUUUUGUUUAAAGUUAAAUUAUUCUGAGUGCUAUAAUAUCCACACACUUACUUGGAUUGUCUUAAAAUUUGCUGUACUUUCUUGGAACACAGGGUAUAGGUCUGUUUUGGAGAUGCAGCUGGCUAUCUUCUUAUCUAACUAGUAUAUUUUAAAAGAAUCUGACAGGGUUCCAAGCUCAUUAUGAGUUCUGAACAAAUAGACCCUGAUUUCAAUGGGGCCCUGCACAAUGGACCUCAUGGAGUCAGGGUCUUCCCACAUGACAAGAUCAAAACCUAAAUGACCUCUUCCACUGCUGACUCACACUCCCAGCUUACACUGAGCUUUAUUUUUGCUCAAGUGUCCUGUUUUUCUUGUAGCACAAGCUUGUUGUGGGCACAGCAUGUUGACAUUUUUGCUAAUGUUUGCAUGGAUCACCUUGUACUUCUGGGAUCUCCUACAGACACAGCUUAAUACAAAAUGAUUAUACAGAUGUAUAUAGGAGUAAAUGGAGUGUUGCUCGCUAAUUUGGUUAGCAAAGUGAUUGUAAUAGUAAGUUGGGAGAAAUAAUGUAAACAAAUGGCAGAGAAGGUACCAGCCUGUCCUUCCCUGUUGGAAGGAAUGGGCCUGCUGUUAUAUAGAUUGGCUUAGACGUGGAUUUGGCUUUAGCUUUUCAGCUUUUUCCCUGCAAACCAAGACAGCAGCUGGACCAAGACUGCUUCUUGCAGUCUGUUCCUGGCAAGAAGAGUAUAGCUCAAAUUAUGGAAACAUUAAACUACUGCAAUGCAUUGGACUUGAAACUUGGAACCAGGUAGAAACAUAGGCUGAUACAGAACAGGACUGGAUAGUUAGUCAUUCUUGCUUUAUUCAGAGAAUGCCAUGAUUAUGCAUGUUCUGCACACCUGCUGACUGAUUUUGGGAGAGAUUAUAUCUAUGAAAUCCUGAAUGGGUUGAGAUUAUUUAUUCAUGAGAUCAUCACCUUGAAGUACCUUGUGAUCUUAGUGUAGAGCCACUUUUGGAAACAGAGUCUUGUUGAUUCAAGGAUUGUAGUAAUACAACAAUAAGAAGCCCUCCUCUAAUGCUUGGAGGAGCCCUGCUUGCCUUCCUGUCUGGAAGGUAAAAUGAGAUGUGGCAGUUUAGGGAAAUUUGAUGAGGAAUUGGUGAGAAGAGCUGGGGAAUUCUUGUGACUCUUCUCUUCCUUUCAGGAGGUGGCGCAGGCACCAGGGCUGAUGAAGAAAGCAGAACUGAAACCCAAAACAUUUAAUAGAGUCAAACUCUGGACAGUGGAGCCAGGGGAGUUACCACCUAGCCUUGUCCACUGGGCAGGAAGAUUGAGCUGGGGCUCUACUACCUAUGCCAGCUAUCCUAAGCAGGUGCUGGGUAGGAAGAUCCAGCUAGAGAACCCUGUUGUGAUCAGACAGGGCAGGUUGGAAGCAGCUUGCUGGGAACAAGAGGAGGAAGGGGAAGAAGAGCCAGGCACCAGAUCCUGCUUCUGGAAGAUAACUGGAAGAGCAUCAGUACCAGGGAAAGCUCCAAGCAAGAAUGUGAAAUAUCAGGCUGAAAUGCAGGGAACUAGAACACUUUAGAGCAGCUCGCUAA